CCCCUGUCAGGUUCGCACCUGGAGAGUUUCCAGUACUCUACCAGUCUCACUUACAGGAGGGCAGGUCAAGCAGAGGCAUAUCCAUUCCAUUUCUAGCUUGGGCAGUGGCUAGUGAGUGGAAGUCAAUCUGCUACAACU